UAGAGUUUGAUCAUGGCUCAGAUUGAACGCUGGCGGCAGGCCUAACACAUGCAAGUCGAGCGGUAGAGAGAAGCUUGCUUCUCUUGAGAGCGGCGGACGGGUGAGUAAUGCCUAGGAAUCUGCCUGGUAGUGGGGGAUAACGUUCGGAAACGGACGCUAAUACCGCAUACGUCCUACGGGAGAAAGCAGGGGACCUUCGGGCCUUGCGCUAUCAGAUGAGCCUAGGUCGGAUUAGCUAGUUGGUGAGGUAAUGGCUCACCAAGGCGACGAUCCGUAACUGGUCUGAGAGGAUGAUCAGUCACACUGGAACUGAGACACGGUCCAGACUCCUACGGGAGGCAGCAGUGGGGAAUAUUGGACAAUGGGCGAAAGCCUGAUCCAGCCAUGCCGCGUGUGUGAAGAAGGUCUUCGGAUUGUAAAGCACUUUAAGUUGGGAGGAAGGGUUGUAGAUUAAUACUCUGCAAUUUGACGGACCGC
rnacentral:rRNA from 1 species